GACGGUUCAUGGGUGACACACCCCAGAAUCAAACUUCCUCCUCUCUGGUUCUGGGUGCGUCACCCUAGAACCGCA
rfam:Myotis lucifugus cont2.316, whole genome shotgun sequence.